rnacentral:rRNA from 1 species
UGGGGAAUAUUGGACAAUGGGGGCAACCCUGAUCCAGCAAUGCCGCGUGUGUGAAGAAGGCCUUAGGGUUGUAAAGCACUUUAGGCUGGGAGGAAGACGUGUAGUUUAAGAGAUGAUACGUUUGACUGUACCGGCAGAAUAAGCACCGGCUAACUCUGUGCCAGCAGCCGCGGUAAUACAGAGGGUGCGAGCGUUAAUCGGAGUUACUGGGCGUAAAGGGCGCGUAGGCGGUUAUUUAAGUGAGAUGUGAAAUCCCUGGGCUUAACCUAGGAACUGCAUCUCAUACUGGAUAGCUAGAGUAUUGUAGAGGGUAGUGGAAUUUCCGGUGUAGCGGUGAAAUGCGUAGAGAUCGGAAGGAACACCAGUGGCGAAGGCGGCUACCUGGACAAAUACUGACGCUGAGGCGCGAAAGCGUGGGGAGCAAACAGG